CAGGUACCUUUUUAAAAAUUUUUUGAGUUGGAAUCUCACUCUGUCACCCA
rnacentral:snoRNA from 1 species